rnacentral:rRNA from 1 species
UAGGGAAUCUUCCGCAAUGGGCGAAAGCUUGACGGAGCAACGCCGCGUGAGUGAUGAAGGUCUUCGGAUCGUAAAACUCUGUUAUUAGGGAAGAACAAAUGUGUAAGUAACUAUGCACGUCUUGACGGUACCUAAUCAGAAAGCCACGGCUAACUACGUGCCAGCAGCCGCGGUAAUACGUAGGUGGCAAGCGUUAUCCGGAAUUAUUGGGCGUAAAGCGCGCGUAGGCGGUUUUUUAAGUCUGAUGUGAAAGCCCACGGCUCAACCGUGGAGGGUCAUUGGAAACUGGAAAACUUGAGUGCAGAAGAGGAAAGUGGAAUUCCAUGUGUAGCGGUGAAAUGCGCAGAGAUAUGGAGGAACACCAGUGGCGAAGGAGACUUUCUGGUCUGUAACUGACGCUGAUGUGCGAAAGCGUGGGGAUCAAACAGG